rnacentral:rRNA from 1 species
AUACGCCCUGAGGGGGAAAGCGGGGGAUCGAAAGACCUCGCGCGAUUAGAGCGGCCGAUGCCUGAUUAGCUUGUUGGUGGGGUAAAAGCCCACCAAGGCGACGAUCAGUAGCUGGUCUGAGAGGACGAUCAGCCACACUGGGACUGAGACACGGCCCAGACUCCUACGGGAGGCAGCA